rnacentral:rRNA from 1 species
GGAAUCGCUAGUAAUCGCGGAUCAGCACGCCGCGGUGAAUACGUUCCCGGGCCUUGUACACACCGCCCGUCACACCAUGGAAGUCUGCAAUGCCCGAACGCCGGUGGCCUAACCACUUAUGUGGAAGGAGCCGUCUAAGGCAGGGCAGAUGACUGGGGUGAAGUCGUAACAAGGUAAC